rnacentral:lncRNA from 1 species
CAGCAUGUUGUCCCAUGUAAUCCUGCAAGAUGUUUAAACUCAAAGAAAUCACUGCACAGGCUACAGGGGUAGUUCAUGGCCAAAUGAGAUUCCCCGGCAGUGCCUGCAGUGGGCACCAUACUGCAUCUUGGGAAAAACAGGGCAUGUGGAGUCUUCCGUGAUCUCCAAGACCCGUUAGGCCUCUUCCACAAAGAAAUUCAAGGGUGCUUUCCUCCCAGCAGCCCCUUUACGGUCUAGAGCUCAAAAUCAAGGUUGGCCUCCAUGUUGAGCUUGGGGGUUUUGAGACUUUUCUCCUUUUCUUUUCUCUUUGAUCGUUUAUUUUAGUUAAUUUCCAAGACACAUUAUCAGGAAUUACUGACCUGCCUUAUCGCUUGCUUACUGCCAUUCAGAUUUUAGAAGUUGACCCGUUGGCUAAGCCCACCCAGAUCAGAGAAACACGAGCAUAGAGCUGCUGUUUUAGGAAAUGAGCUGCUAAACUGGGAUUUGUGGUUACCUUUGCUUACUCCAUUGUAAAUCAAAAUGUCAGUGCAGUUCCAAGUGUCAAAGUGAAGAGAUGACAAAAUGACAUUUUUGAGCAAUAUUCUUCUUUCUCCUGAGACUGGGUAUGGAGUUUCAUUCACUGAUUUUUUUUUUUUCCACGAAAUGAUUGGGAGUAAUGAUUAGUUUCCUGAGAAGAUUUUAAGUUUUCACUAGAGUUUUGUUUUUUUAAUUAACUUAUUCUGUAUUAGAUAUGAUCUAAAAGACUCUCCCAUUUCUGUCUUUAGAAGCAUUGGACUGCUGAUUUUCUUCAGUAACCCUUCUCUGUGAUAAAACUAACACAUACCUUGAUCUGUACAGUGUAAUAGUUAAACCACAGGCUUCACAGUUGAGUUAUCUUGAUAUAAUUCCUGAUUGUGCUAAUUAAUGAUUUUGUGUGUGUGUGUGUGUGUGUGUGUGUGGUUUUAGGGAUUGAACCCAGGGCCUCACACAUUCUGAGCUACAUUCCCAUUCCUAAUUAUUUUAAAAUUAAUCAAAUUACCUAAGUGCUCUGAGCCUCAGUUUUCUCAUUCGUAAAAUGAAGAUAGUAAGAAUAAUAAUAGCAAUAAUUAUAACUAUACACAACUUAAGAGUGUUUUCAUAAUACAUGAGAUAAUGUACAGGUAGUGUCCCGAAUACACAUAGCUAUUGUUGCUAUUUGUAACAUGCACAAGUACAUAUACACACAGACACAUGCACACAUAUAAACACAAGGGAGUAUGUCCCCGAUAGCUGCUUACCAAGACACACUGAGGACGCUCUCCAAGACACACUGAGGACACUGGAAGGCAGAAAAGAGAAAGCCUUCUCCUGUUUCAGUAAUUGAACGUUUAAUGAAGAUCUUCUGUGCAAGAGCGGUGGUCUCAUUAGAUGAAUAGAUCCUAACUUCAGUCCUCAAGGUGUGGGGAUUCCUGCAGAAGAAAAAAAAAUGACAAAACUCUGCAAUAAGAAGCAGAAGGAGGACGGGUGUGGUGGCACAUGCCGUAAUCUCAGCAGCACAGGAGGCUGAGGCAGGAGGAUCACAGGUUCAAAGCCAGCCUCUGCAAAAACGAGGUGCUAAGCAACUCAGUGAGGAUGGAUGGGCAGGGCUCAAAGGACUUCAGGGUCACUGGAACUAUUUCGUUAUGGUGGGCACAUGUGGCGAUGAAUUUGUCUGGACCUGUAGAGUGUGCAACACCAGGAGUGAGCUGUGAUGUGAAUCUACACUCUGGGUGAUGAUGACGUGUCAAUUGGGUUCAUUGAGAGUAACAAGGGUACCACUCUGGGGACAGACACUGAUAAUGAGGGAGGCACACAUCGGUGGGGCAGGGUGGACAUGGAAAAUCUGGACCUUCCACUCAACUUUG